rnacentral:lncRNA from 1 species
CCCAAAUUUUAGUUGAUUUUAUUUACAACUCAAAUUUUCUACAUUUUUACAAUCAAUUCUCAAAGUUCAAUUUAAGUUAACCGAAGGAUAAUAUGUUGCUGAUGUAGCAAUAACAUGGCAUUAUUAUUGUUGAUAAAAUAAAAGUGACUAAGAUAUCGCAUUAUUAUCUAUCAGAUUAGCGACGCACUAGUAUCUAAUCAACUAAAUUGGACCAUAAAAUUUGUUUAUAACAAUUCAGAAAAUUCUAGCAAAAAAUUACAACGAAACAGGUCGAAAAUGUAAUUUAAUCUUUUAUAUAUAACUAGUAUUUAACCCGUGCUAUGCACGGAUAAUAUAAUAAUAUAAAAUAACAUAAGUUAUUAUAUGAUGAUAAAAAAAUUUAUUCUAAUUAAUAUUAUAUUUUUUUAAAUAAUAAAGAAAUAUACUAUUGAUCUUAAUUAUAGUACAUAUUAAAAUACAAAAGCUAGAGAAAAAAAAUUAUAGACCAAAGUAAAUACUCAAAUAAAAAGUAAAUUUCAAUCAUGCUCUAUUAUUUAUGGAUACUAAUAGCUUUUUGUUGCUAUAAGUUUUACAGAAAAAAUACUAAAUGACCAAAAUACAAAUUAAAAGGAACAUUAUACUAUAAAUGCUACUUAUAAAAUAAUUCUUUUUAUAUUAUAUAUGUGCCUACUAAUUUUUGUUUAUAUUAUAUCAGAUAGAUAAUUUUUAUAUUUAUAUUUGAGGGCAAUUUAGAUAAAAAAAACGGAAUUAUUAUAUUUGAGGGCAAUUUAGAUAAUGUGCCUACAUUAUCUGCCAAUACGAAAUUUGAGUUUGCAACAGCUUAUUUUCACCGCGAAAAAAUAAGUCGCAACAGAUUAUUGCAUAUUUCGCAACCAAUAAUUUUAAAUAAUUAAUUAAACCAAUAAUUUUAAAUAAUUCGUAACCAAAUAUUCAUAUUUGAGUUUGACACGUGGCAAGCAUAUAGAAACCCACGUGUCAGCUUCUCACAUAGGGUUUAAUAAGGGUUCUACUUUUUUUUAAAUAAUAAAGAAAUAUACUAUUGAUCUUAAUUAUAGUACAUAUUAAAGUACAAAAGCUAGAGAAAAAAAUUAUAGACCAAAGUAAAUACUCAAAUAAAAAGUAAAUUUCAACCCUGCUCUAUUAUCUAUGGAUACUAAUAGCUUUUUGUUGCUAUAAGUUUUACAGAAAAAAAUACUAAAUGACAAAAAUACAAAUUAAAAGGAACAUUAUACUAUAAAUGCUACUUAUAAAAUAAUUCUUUUUAUAUUAUAUAUGUGCCUACUAAUUUUUGUUUAUAUUAUAUCAGAUAGAUAAUUUUUAUAUUUUUAUUUGAGGGCAAUUUAGAUAAAAAAUCCGGAAUUUUGUUAUUUGAGGGCAACUUUUUAUCUAAUUUUUGUUUAUAUUAUAUCAGAUAGAUAAUUUUUAUAUUUAUAUUUGAGGGCAAUUUAGAUAAAAAAAACGGAAUUAUUAUAUUUGAGGGCAAUUUAGAUAAUGUGCCUACAUUAUCUGCCAAUACGAAAUUUGAGUUUGCAACAGCUUAUUUUCACCGCGAAAAAAUAAGUCGCAACAGAUUAUUGCAUAUUUCGCAACCAAUAAUUUUAAAUAAUUAAUUAAACCAAUAAUUUUAAANUAUUCGUCAGUCAAUUAGAUUUAUUGACUAAGAAUUAAUAUAUUUUAUAAUAAUUUAAAUAAAAUAUCCAAUAUUUUAAAUUUGAGAUAACUUUUAUAUAUUCUGCUUAUAAAAAAUAUGAUUAAAUAUUACAUAUGUUAAUAUAUUUUAUAAUGUUUUAAAUAAAAUAUCCAAAAUUUUAAAUAUUAGUAGGUAAAUUUGAUAUAACUUUAAUAUAUUUUGUUUUAAAAAAAUAUGAUUUAAUAUUAUAUAUGCGGAAGAUAUUAUAUUAAUAGGGACCGGUAUUUUGGGAAAGAGGAAAAAAUUCAAAACUAACGUUUUUAUAAGUAGUAUAGAUGAGCAACUAAAAAUAAGAUAUCCAAUAAAAAAAUUAAUACAUCAUAUUUAAAUAAUAAAAUAAAAAAUAUAUGUUCUAUUUUAAAGCAUAACCAAAAUAUCUUAUUUUAAAUAAUAAUUUUAAAUAAUUAUUAUCUGCCAAUACGAAAUUUGAGAAUUUGACUUUGCAACAGAUUAUUUCCACCGCGAAAAAAUAAUUCGCAACAGAUUAUUGCGUAUUUCGCAACCAAUAAUUUUAAAUAAUUAAUUAAACUAAUAAUUUCAAAUAAUUCGUAACCAAAUAUCCAUAUUUGAGUUUGACACGUGGCAAGCAUAUAGAAAGCCACGUGUCAACUUCUCACAUAGGGUUCAUUAAGGGUUCUACUUUUAUAUAUAGUAAUAGAUAAGACAUAAUUUGGUGACAAAAUUAAAUUAUGUG